GCUUUCAAACGGGUUAAAAUAGUUCAGCAGCAUUUGCUACAGCCACACGUGGGAACCCUUAUUAGCUUGGUGCUGAUUAAGUCAAAGAGGCAGCUAAAAUUAACAUCCUCUCCAGAUGUUUUUAAAGGCACAUCCAAUGAAAGGCCAUUCGAAGAGAUUCAGUCUGAGGUGAUUUAUUUUAUUUUAUUUUCAUCUUAAGUUCACCACACCACAAACAGAUUUGUUUGCAAACUUAAAAACAACAGUGUUGGAUUCGACAUCUUAGAAAAAUCACCAACAGAAAAACCUUUAACUGUGUGUCUUUUACCGUCUUCAAAGCCUUUUAGCGUUAAUAUGCGAUGUUUCGGGCAAAAGGACUACAUUACCCAUGACCCCUCGCUUCCUAGCUGACCAGAUGGAACGCAGAGCGGACCAGCCGUGUGUGACAGUUGAGCUCCAACAAGUUCACGGUGGAAACUUCAGAGGAGAACACGACCUUGAACUGCAGAGAACCAAGUUUAACAUGACACAGUCGGUGCAGGGAAGAAGCCGGCCGGUAAAGCAACACCAGCUGUAGAGAGCUUUUGUUUUGAUGGGAAUACGCUGAAGGAAGCCGCACCACUCCUACACAGAGCAACAAAUGCAAAGAAACUACUUAGGCAGCAGCGUUUACAGAGGCUCCAAUGACCUUCAUGUCUCUGUUUGGCCCCUAAGCCCACCAACAGGGCGCCCGGCUUUAAGCUCCUGUUCACCCUGAACCCUCCGCCCCGAGGCAAGCUGUC